rnacentral:lncRNA from 1 species
UUACAUUUCCCUGAUGAUUAGUGAUGCUGAACAUCUUUUCAUGUGUCUACUGGCCAUCUGUAUAUUUUCUUUGGAAAAAUGUCCGUUUAGCUCCUCUGCUCAUUUAUUGAUCAGGUUGAUUGAUUUUUUGUUGUUGAGUUGUGUGAGUUCUUUAUAUAUUUUGGAGAUUAACCCCUUGUCGGAUAUAUGAUUUGUAAAUAUUUUCUCCCAGUUGGUGGAUGGUCUUUUCACUUUGUUCCUUGUUUCCUUUGCCUUGCAGAAGCUCUUUAGUCUGAUGAAGUCCCACUUGUUUAUGCAAAAAGGAUUUUUGUGCCAUCUUCUCAAAGAGCUAUUUUGAGGUUUACAUGAGAUAAUGUAUGCAAAGAACUUCACAAGAUUAGCCCUGAGCUAACAUCUGUUGCCAAUCCUCCUCUUUUUGCUGAGGAAGA